CGGCUGCUGAGCGGAUGGAGACACGGGGAGUCCAGCUGCUCCCGCAGGCGCUCCCCCCUCGCGCUAUCAAUUAUUCAAUUCUUGCCUUGACAUGAAGAACAACUGAUCAACAUCUGAACACAUUUGAAGCCUAUCAUCAGUCUAGGGAUAGAUCAAGAAAAUGUUACAAUGACUCUCUCAAGGCUAACCACCACAUUUACAAUGAUCCAAACAUGUGGAAUCUCUUGGCCAUGACAAAAUCAGGUGGUGCCAACUCUGCCAUGUCAUCGCAGACUGAAAGAUUUUGAGAGCUCAAGGACUCCUGCAAUCAAGGAGAGCUAUGUGAGGUGUAAAGCUAAAAACAAUUCAUAUUCAUCUACAAUUGCCUUCACCGGUUGUAAUUGCAGACAGGGCUGCAGGUCAGAAAUUGGUUUCUGAUCUCAUCUCAGGACCCACAUAAGUGACUGUAGCUCUUCCACUAAACUCAAUAGGAGAUUCAAUCUUGUACUUGUAAAUAUAGAUGUAUAUACCUAACUUUAAGCAUCCAAGUCUGAAAAUAAUAUCCAUACAGAAUAUAUCCUAUGAACAAUAUGAUAUCUUGUAUUAAUCAUAACUUGU